GGCAGCAGUGGGGGAUAUUGCGCAAUGGGGGCAACCCUGACGCAGCAACGCCGCGUGAAGGAUGAAGGUUUUCGGAUUGUAAACUUCUUUUAUUAAGGACGAAAAAUGACGGUACUUAAUGAAUAAGCUCCGGCUAACUACGUGCCAGCAGCCGCGGUAAUACGUAGGGAGCAAGCGUUGUCCGGAUUUACUGGGUGUAAAGGGUGCGUAGGCGGCUUUGCAAGUCAGAUGUGAAAUCUAUGGGCUCAACCCAUAAACUGCAUUUGAAACUGUAGAGCUUGAGUGAAGUAGAGGCAGGCGGAAUUCCCCGUGUAGCGGUGAAAUGCGUAGAGAUGGGGAGGAACACCAGUGGCGAAGGCGGCCUGCUGGGCUUUAACUGACGCUGAGGCACGAAAGCGUGGGUAGCAAACAGGAUUAGAUACCCUGGUAGUCCACGCUGUAAACGAUGAUUACUAGGUGUGGGGGGUCUGACCCCUUCCGUGCCGGAGUUAACACAAUAAGUAAUCCACCA
rnacentral:rRNA from 1 species